GCCACUUUAGCUCAGUGGCAGAGCGUCUGUCUCGUAAACAGAAGGUCGCAGGUUCAAACCCUGCAAGUGGCA
rfam:Rhabditophanes sp. KR3021 genome assembly, scaffold: RSKR_scaffold0000002